rnacentral:rRNA from 1 species
UACAGAGGGGGCUAGCGUUGUUCGGAAUUACUGGGCGUAAAGCGCACGUAGGCGGCUUUGUAAGUUAGCGGUGAAAGCCCGGGGCUCAACUCCGGAAUUGCCUUUAAGACUGCAUCGCUAGAAUUGUGGAGAGGUAAGUGGAAUUCCGAGUGUAGAGGUGAAAUUCGUAGAUAUUCGGAAGAACACCAGUGGCGAAGGCGACUUACUGGACACAUAUUGACGCUGAGGUGCGAAAGCGUGGGGAGCAAACAGG